GAAUCGUUUCAAAUCCUGAAUCUUGAGUCCUUGCCAAGUUUUGCCCAUUCUCUUCUUCACAUAUAUCUGAAUAUAUCUCAAGUCUUUGGAUUUAGCUUCAUAAGCAGAUGUGAAGGGUACAGUAUGGGUUUUUUUUGUCCUUGAAUCCUUAACAGAUGUGAAAGUAUCCUGUUGAUAACUGUUGCAGCCAUGAUUCAGCAGCCUCGUGUUCCAUCAUCUGGGCUGAUGCCUGCCAGUGAUGUUCUUAUUCCUGCAAAAUGCAAAGGAGGUGAUCAUAUACAGGAACAAUCUUGUUAAACUGCUAGCCAAACCAAACGCAUGACUUGGAAAUUGGUAAACAACACCAAAAUUUAGCAAUUUAUCUAGUUUAGGCUUUAUUACUACGUAACUAUUCACUACUUCUUGGAACAGGCUUUAAAUCCAGAAUUUCUCAUUUAUUAAUAGUAUCUAUCUAAUAUAACAGAGUUGAUAGCUUAAGCACACAGUACAUGUGAUGUGGUGUCGUUUAAUCAAUUCAAUACAUGCAAAGUUUGAUAUUUUUUCUCA